rnacentral:lncRNA from 1 species
AUUUUAAACAAGUUCAGAUUAUUUUGCUAAGAAACAAAUGACUUAUAUUAACUAUAAAUAGAUGCUUGCUUACACGAAAGGAGGAAAAUCAACUAUCAUUCUACUCUUACAAAAAGAAAACAUUUAGACUAUGCAUCUUCCAAGUUUUAUAACUAACUAAUCGACAUAUUACUGCUAAACACAGAAGCCAGAAAAGGUGAACACAUGACAGUAACUCGAUCGGAAACUUGCAACCUCCCGAAUGUGGUCUAAAAGUUCCUGCCAUUUAGACUAUGCAUCUUCCAAGUUUUAUAACUAACUAAUCAACAUAUUAUUGCCAAACACAGAAGCCAGAAAAGGUGAAUACACGACAAUAACUAUCAUUCUACUCUUACAAAAAGAAAACAUUUAGACUAUGCAUCUUCCAAGUUUUAUUACUAACUAAUCGACAUAUUACUGCUAAACACAGAAGCCAGAAAAGGUGAACACACGACAGUAACUCGAUCGGAAACUUGCAACCUCCCGAAUGCGGUCUAAAAGUUCCUGCCAUCGAGAUCACGGAGUUGUUCUAAGGUGACUCCAAAGAACGGCAAAACUGGUGGUGCUGGAACUCGAAGCUCUCGUGAGACA